GCAGCUGCAGAUCUGCAGAGCAAGGGGAGAAUGAUAAGGGACGGGCCUGCCUUUUCUGAGCUCUCUAAUGUCAGUGCUGCCUCCCUUCUGCAUGGCCGUUCACAGCUAACAAAGCCUUUUACAGACAUUGUCAUCUCUCGAGUAUCCACCCUGGAGGGUAAGGACCCCAUAUGAGAGUGAGGCUCUCUGCACACUCCAGAUCAAGGACUUGACCAAUCUGGUGGACCGUACAUGUUGGGAGGAGGGUAAGAGUGUGGUAAAGAGGAUCUGAAGGGAGAGGAAUUGGCUCUUUGCUCUCAGUGUUGAGCUGAAAUCCAAAGAGAGGGCAAAGAAUCCUGCCAUCCCAGAACUAUUUCCUCCCACCAUCUCCUGCCGUCAUUUACUUAACAGAGACAAUAGUCUGGUCUCUUUCUUCCUUUUAACUGAGAAAUGGGUCAAAGGCAGCACAGGCGGAUAAUAUGGUCUAGACCAUUUGCAAGUAGGGCACAUCUCUCUUUCAUUAUUAAAAAUUGCAUGUAUUCAUAAAGAAGGCUGAGUGGGAGAGGGUGAACCCCUCUCCUUCCCCUUCAUACCCAGACCCUGCCUCCCAGCAAGCCGCGUGUUCACUCUGACAAAGAUUCGUAACAUUCAGACCAAGGGAAGUGGGACUCUUCCUCUGCAACAGCUAGAAACCCCACACCCUGUUCAGAGGAGAAUGCCCGGGGCCUGCAUGCGGGAGGAGGAGCCACAUGGUGAGAUUCUGCCUCCCUGCAUCGGGUCAGAACAAGCCCCAGGAAGAAAGUAUUCCAAACAAGGUAGAUCUGCCCUCACCCACCCAGUCUGCAUGUUGGUGCUGAGGACAGCCUUUUAUGGGGCUUACACUGAGCCACGGACGUGUCUGAACACAACAAGGAAGAGGCCAAAGCAGCAACUACACAGCAACCAGAAGUAGUUGCACUAUAUCCAGCCAGAUUUGGAAACAGAUGUGGGGUCACUGGAGGCUGGCCUUCCCAGACAAAUCUAUAGGAGUGAGAACAAGAUUUCAGUGGAGUGAAGUUCAGGAGGCAUGGAGCUGACAUCAAAGCCACCACCGCCGCCACAGCAGCAAGAGUCACUGUGAUUUAGAAACAGAAAUACCCAGUGAGAAAUGAGAUCGAUGCAGGUGACAUCUGGAGCGCACCUUCUGCAGAGGGGACGGGCAGAUUG